rnacentral:rRNA from 1 species
AACGAACGCUGGCGGCAUGCCUAACACAUGCAAGUCGAACGAGACCUUCGGGUUUAGUGGCGCACGGGUGCGUAACGCGUGGGAACCUGCCCUUAGGUUCGGAAUAACUCCCCGAAAGGGGUGCUAAUACCGGCUCUUGUCUUCGGACCAAAGAUUUAUCGCCUUUGGAUGGGCCCGCGUUGGAUUAGCUAGUUGGUAGGGUAAAAGCCUACCAAGGCGACGAUCCAUAGCUGGUCUGAGAGGAUGAUCAGCCACACUGGGACUGAGACACGGCCCAGACUCCUACGGGAGGCAGCAGUGGGGAAUAUUGGACAAUGGGCGAAAGCCUGAACCAGCAAGGCCGCGUGAGUGAUGAAGGCCUUAGGGUUGUAAAGCUCUUUUACCCGGGAUGAUAAUGACAGUACCGGGAGAAUAAGCACCGGCUAACUCCGUG